CAUGCAAGUCGAACGCUUUUUCUUUCACCGGAGCUUGCUCCACCGAAAGAAAAAGAGUGGCGAACGGGUGAGUAACACGUGGGUAACCUGCCCAUCAGAAGGGGAUAACACUUGGAAACAGGUGCUAAUACCGUAUAACACUAUUUUCCGCAUGGAAGAAAGUUGAAAGGCGCUUUUGCGUCACUGAUGGAUGGACCCGCGGUGCAUUAGCUAGUUGGUGAGGUAACGGCUCACCAAGGCAACGAUGCAUAGCCGACCUGAGAGGGUGAUCGGCCACACUGGGACUGAGACACGGCCCAGACUCCUACGGGAGGCAGCAGUAGGGAAUCUUCGGCAAUGGACGAAAGUCUGACCGAGCAACGCCGCGUGAGUGAAGAAGGUUUUCGGAUCGUAAAACUCUGUUGUUAGAGAAGAACAAGGAUGAGAGUAAAAUGUUCAUCCCUUGACGGUAUCUAACCAGAAAGCCACGGCUAACUACGUGCCAGCAGCCGCGGUAAUACGUAGGUGGCAAGCGUUGUCCGGAUUUAUUGGGCGUAAAGCGAGCGCAGGCGGUUUCUUAAGUCUGAUGUGAAAGCCCCCGGCUCAACCGGGGAGGGUCAUUGGAAACUGGGAGACUUGAGUGCAGAAGAGGAGAGUGGAAUUCCAUGUGUAGCGGUGAAAUGCGUAGAUAUAUGGAGGAACACCAGUGGCGAAGGCGGCUCUCUGGUCUGUAACUGACGCUGAGGCUCGUAGUUUGACCUC
rnacentral:rRNA from 1 species